AAAAAAGGUAAGCUACUAAGAGCGAAUGGUGGAUGCCUUGACUGGUAAAGGCGAUGAAGGACGUACUAGACUGCGAUAAGCUACGGGGAGCUGUCAAGAAGCUUUGAUCCGUAGAUUUCCGAAUGGGGCAACCCAAUGUAUAGAGAUAUACAUUACCUAUAUAGGAGCGAACGAGGGGAAUUGAAACAUCUUAGUACCCUCAGGAAAAGAAAUCAAUAGAGAUUGCGUCAGUAGCGGCGAGCGAAAGCGCAAGAGGGCAAACCCAGUGCUUGCACUGGGGGUUGUAGGACUGCAAUGUGCAAGAGCUGAGUUUAGCAGAACAUUCUGGAAAGUAUAGCCAUAGAGGGUGAUAGUCCCGUAUGCGAAAAACAAAGCUUAGCUAGCAGUAUCCUGAGUAGGGCGGGACACGAGGAAUCCUGUCUGAAUCCGGGUCGACCACGAUCCAACCCUAAAUACUAAUACCAGAUCGAUAGUGCACAAGUACCGUGAGGGAAAGGUGAAAAGAACUGAGGUGAUCAGAGUGAAAUAGAACCUGAAACCAUUUGCUUACAAUCAUUCAGAGCACUAUGUAGCAAUACAGUGUGAUGGACUGCCUUUUGCAUAAUGAGCCUGCGAGUUGUGGUGUCUGGCAAGGUUAAGCAAACGCGAAGCCGUAGCGAAAGCGAGUCUGAAUAGGGCGCUUAGUCAGAUGCUGCAGACCCGAAACGAAGUGAUCUAUCCAUGAGCAAGUUGAAGCUAGUGUAAGAACUAGUGGAGGACUGAACCCAUAGGCGUUGAAAAGCCCCGGGAUGACUUGUGGAUAGGGGUGAAAGGCCAAUCAAACUUCGUGAUAGCUGGUUCUCUCCGAAAUAUAUUUAGGUAUAGCGUUGUGUCGUAAUAUAAGGGGGUAGAGCACUGAAUGGGCUAGGGCAUACACCAAUGUACCAAACCCUAUCAAACUCCGAAUACCUUAUAUGUAAUCACAGCAGUCAGGCGGCGAGUGAUAAAAUCCGUCGUCAAGAGGGAAACAACCCAGACUACCAGCUAAGGUCCCUAAGUCUUACUUAAGUGGAAAACGAUGUGAAGUUACUUAAACAACCAGGAGGUUGGCUUAGAAGCAGCCAUCCUUUAAAGAAAGCGUAAUAGCUCACUGGUCUAGUGAUUUUGCGCGGAAAAUAUAACGGGGCUAAAGUAAGUACCGAAGCUGUAGACUUAG
rnacentral:rRNA from 1 species